GAUGAACGCUGGCGGCGUGCUUAACACAUGCAAGUCGAACGGAAAGGCUCCUGCUUGCAGGGGUACUCGAGUGGCGAACGGGUGAGUAACACGUGGGUGAUCUGCCCUGCACUUCGGGAUAAGCCUGGGAAACUGGGUCUAAUACCGGAUAGGACCACAUUUUGGAUGGUGUGGUGGAAAGUUUUUCGGUGUGAGAUGAGCUCGCGGCCUAUCAGCUUGUUGGUGGGGUAAUGGCCUACCAAGGCGUCGACGGGUAGCCGGCCUGAGAGGGUGUACGGCCACAUUGGGACUGAGAUACGGCCCAGACUCCUACGGGAGGCAGCAGUGGGGAAUAUUGCACAAUGGGCGCAAGCCUGAUGCAGCGACGCCGCGUGGGGGAUGACGGCCUUCGGGUUGUAAACUCCUUUCGCUAGGGACGAAGCGCAAGUGACGGUACCUGGAGAAGAAGCACCGGCUAACUACGUG
rnacentral:rRNA from 1 species